CCAACAUGGACACCCUGGGAGGUCACUCUCCCUGGGCUCUGUCCUAGUGUCCUAGGGGAGCAUAGGGCCCUACUGGUGAUGUAUAGUCCCUUUCUACAACGUUGGAGAUGAAGCUGGGCUUCAAGUCUGUGCCUGCAUAUUCCUACAACUUCUCAGAGUCCGGUGGACCAUACUGGGGAGACAAACCAUGCAGGAAACAAAA